CCGAAUUCGUUUGGCGAAGUUUUCUUGCUAUUAAUUUCAUUGUGUCGUGUGCUGGCAAAACGACUAAUAUAGUUCUUGUCAUUGUGUCAGAGGAAGAGGAUUUCGUUCUGCAGCUUGAUGUAGGGGAGCCAAAUGGGAAUUGAGUAAUGGGUUACUCUUGCAAGAGAUGGGUUCUGGCAUCCAGUCUUUCAAUGUUUUAAGACUGACUGGAAGCCCAUCCGAAUAACCUUGCUAAGCAUUUAAUGGACAACCAAAUGACUACAAGAAGACUCAGAAGAAGAGUGCCUCAAGAUCUACUGUAGAUUAAUUGAUAUGGACAUGUCAAUGGACAUUGUGCAUGCACCGCCGAAAUUGUUUUUCUCAAAACUACGGUUGAAUGUCUUACGACAGCUUACUGUAUAGAAUAAAUAUUUUGUCAAAUA